rnacentral:rRNA from 1 species
AGAGUUUGAUCCUGGCUCAGGACAAACGCUGGCGGCGUGCCUAAGACAUGCAAGUCGAACGGGGAGCCUUCGGGCUCUUAGUGGCGGACGGGUGAGGAGCGCGUGGAGAAUCUACCCUGGGGUGGGGAAUACCCGCCAGAAAUGGCGGUUAAGACCGCAUACGACCCGCUGGCGCCGGCUGGCGGGGGAAAGCCGCAAGGUGCCCUGGGCGGACUCCGCGUCGGAUUAGCUGGUUGGUGGGGUGAUGGCCUACCAAGGCAACGAUCCGUAGCUGGUCUGAGAGGACGGCCAGCCACACUGGGACUGAGACACGGCCCAGACUCCUACGGGAGGCAGCAGUUAGGGAAUUUUGACAAUGGGCGCAAGCCUGAUCGAGUGACGCCGCGUGCGGGAUGACGCCUCUCGGGGUGUAAACCGCUUUUCCCCAGGACGAGGAGGGACGGUACUGGGGGAAGAAGUCUCGGCUAACUACGUGCCAGCAGCCGCGGUAACACGUAGGGCGCAAGCGUUGUCCGGAAUUAUUGGGCGUAAAGAGCUCGUAGGUGGUCUGUUGCGUCCGCUGUGAAAACCCAAGGCUUAACCUUGGGCUUGCAGUGGAUACGGGCAGACUAGAGGUAGGUAGGGGAGAAUGGAAUUCCCGGUGUAGCGGUGAAAUGCGCAGAUAUCGGGAGGAACACCGGUGGCGAAGGCGGUUCUCUGGGCCUUACCUGACACUGAGGAGCGAAAGCGUGGGGAGCGAACAGGAUUAGAUACCCUGGUAGUCCACGCCGUAAACGUUGGGCGCUAGGUGUGGGGUCCUUCCACGGAUUCCGUGCCGCAGCUAACGCAUUAAGCGCCCCGCCUGGGGAGUACGGCCGCAAGGCUAAAACUUAAAGGAAUUGACGG